GAUGAACGCUGGCGGCGUGCCUAAUACAUGCAAGUCGAGCGUACGGACGAGAAGCUUGCUUCUCUGAUGUUAGCGGCGGACGGGUGAGUAACACGUGGAUAACCUACCUAUAAGACUGGGAUAACUUCGGGAAACCGGAGCUAAUACCGGAUAAUAUUUUGAACCGCAUGGUUCAAAAGUGAAAGACGGUCUUGCUGUCACUUAUAGAUGGAUCCGCGCUGCAUUAGCUAGUUGGUAAGGUAACGGCUUACCAAGGCAACGAUGCAUAGCCGACCUGAGAGGGUGAUCGGCCACACUGGAACUGAGACACGGUCCAGACUCCUACGGGAGGCAGCAGUAGGGAAUCUUCCGCAAAGGGCGAAAGCCUGACGGAGCAACGCCGCGUGAGUGAUGAAGGUCUUCGGAUCGUAAAACUCUGUUAUUAGGGAAGAACAUAUGUGUAAGUAACUGUGCACAUCUUGACGGUACCUAAUCAGAAAGCCACGGCUAACUACGUG
rnacentral:rRNA from 1 species